GAUGAACGCUGGCGGCGUGCCUAAUACAUGCAAGUCGAGCGAACGGACGAGAAGCUUGCGUCUCUGAUGUUAGCGGCGGACGGGUGAGUAACACGUGGAUAACCUACCUAUAAGACUGGGAUAACUUCGGGAGACCGGAGCUAAUACCGGAGAAUAUUUCGAACCGCAUGGAUCAAAAGUGAAAGACGGUCUUGCUGUCACUUUGAGCUGGAUCCGCGCUGCAUUAGCUAGUUGGUAAGGUAACGGCUUACCAAGGCAACGAUGCAUAGCCGACCUGAGAGGGUGAUCAGCCACACUGGAACUGAGACACGGUCCAGACUCCUACGGGAGGCAGCAGUAGGGAAUCUUGCGCAAUGGGCGAAAGCCUGACGGAGCAACGCCGCGUGAGUGAUGAAGGUCUUCGGAUCGUAAAACUCUGUUAUUAGGGAAGAACAUAUGUGUAAGUAACUGUGCACAUCUUGACGGUACCUAAUCAGAAAGCAACGGCUAACUUCGUG
rnacentral:rRNA from 1 species